rnacentral:rRNA from 1 species
ACGUAGGGGGCGAGCGUUAUCCGGAAUUAUUGGGCGUAAAGAGUGCGAAGGCGGUUCUUUAAGCGGGAGGUGAAAGCCAAUGGCUUAACUAUAGUACGGCUUGCGAACUGGAGAACUUGAGUGCAGGAGAGGUAAGUGGAAUUCCUAGUGUAGCGGUGAAAUGCGUAGAUAUUAGGAGGAACACCAGUGGCGAAGGCGACUUACUGGACUGUAACUGACUCUGAGGCACGAAAGCGUGGGGAGCAAACAG